rnacentral:rRNA from 1 species
GCCCAGACUCCUACGGGAGGCAGCAGUAGGGAAUCUUUCACAAUGGGCGAAAGCCUGAUGGAGCAACGCCGCGUGAAGGAAGAAGGCUUUCGGGUUGUAAACUUCUUUUCUGAGGGACGAAGAAAGUGACGGUACCUCAGGAAUAAGCCACGGCUAACUACGUGCCAGCAGCCGCGGUAAUACGUAGGUGGCAAGCGUUAUCCGGAUUUAUUGGGUGUAAAGGGCGUGUAGGCGGGAAAGCAAGUCAGAUGUGAAAACUCAGGGCUCAACCCUGAGCCUGCAUUUGAAACUGUUUUUCUUGAGUGCUGGAGAGGCAAUCGGAAUUCCGUGUGUAGCGGUGAAAUGCGUAGAUAUACGGAGGAACACCAGUGGCGAAGGCGGAUUGCUGGACAGUAACUGACGCUGAGGCGCGAAAGCGUGGGGAGCAAACAGGAUUAGAUACCCGUGUAGG